AUCUACUCAGUGCCUUAUACUAGUGCCAAACAUUUUUGUAUGAAUAUAUUUUUGUACUACAUAUACAAAACGGCGUUUCAUUUCUUCUAGUCUCGCGCCGAAACCAUUCGCAUCUUACGCCCAUUCUGUGUUUUAGGAUACGCGUGUCUCGGAUGUUACAGGACCUACAAGUAUAAGCGGAACCUAGUGAGUCAUCAAAAAAUCGAAUGUGGAAAGGAGCCGAGGUACCAGUGCACCAACUGCGGCCGAAGGACGUACUUUAAGUCGAACCACAAGAAGCACGUGGCCAAGUGCUGCGCGUUUGAGUACAUUUACUAAUUUGUAAAGCCACUACCUUUUUCGCCUAAGCCGAUGUAAAUAACUACGCGGGUUGGCUUUUCGGAGGACCCCGUGUUCAUGCCGAGACUAACGAGGCUCGUUUUUAGAUCGUCCGUACGCUUGUCCCAACUGUAACUCGAGAUACAAGUACAGGAAACACCUGAAUAGUCACGUGAACUUCGUGUGCGGCAAACUGCCCACGAUCAAGUGCGACUUUUGCUCAAAGAUGUUCUACAGACCGUACGAGCUCAACACCCACGUCAAAACCCAUAAACUGAGGCAGCUGCUGUUGGAGUAACUCCCGUUCGUCCGCUGUUAACGAAGUGCAAUACUAUUUAUUAAAACAAUAAAAGUCUUACGAUCGAUUUUUAGUCGUUCGGAAUGUUCUGACCAGCCGGGCCGCGCCGACGAUGACAUCUUGGUCUGUUUUAGGACCGUACGUGUGCACCAAGUGCGGCAAGGUCUACCACAAAAAGAACUCAUUCUAUUGCCACGUCAAACAGCUGUGCGGAAUUGAGCCGACGCAUGCGUGUCCCGUCGCCGGUUGUCGAUACAUUAGCCGACUCAGAUCUAAUCUCAAAAGGCACAUGCUUACCGUGCACAAGACCAACUCGUCACGGUUGGAGCCGUUCGUGGCUCGAAACAAGCAGAUUUAGUCGGGUGCAUAAUGCAAACGCAAAUGAUGGCUAUAUUUUACGGGGCAUUUGCAGGGUGGCGUUACACAGUAGCACAGUUAUAUAUCUCCCUAGAAAAAAAUGUUUAAAUAAGAGUUCCAUAAAAUAUAAAAACAAACGAAGCAAACGUUGUAAAAAUAUUUCUUUGCUAUGUAAUUGAAAAAAAAUUAAAACGUUAAUUUUUUGACUUAACUAAGGGAGAUGUACUUUGCCGCACUACUGCUCCACCGUGUUUAUAUUUUUACCGUUUUCCGAAAUACAAAAACGUAAACGUAGAGGCAACGCCUAUUUUGGAAAAUAUGGUUUUAUUUUUCGCAAAAUCGUAUUACCGGUUACACCUCUUUCCUAGUCUGGGACGGUCAGGUAUUGAGCGGGAUUGGUCGCCUUGCGUUCUUGACUGGUCGUUUUCUUUUAGAACUGCGAUAUUCUUGCGACAGAUGCGGCCGUCACUAUCGCUACAUAGGCGGUCUGAAUCAACACAAAAAGUUCAUCUGCGGAAAGAAGCCUCAAUUCGUCUGCUGGUUCCCCGGAUGCGUUUACCGUACCAAGCUGAAGUUCGAUCUCAACAAGCACAUGAGGAACAUUCACAAGGUGUCGCCUCCUCGACGAUAAGCGAAAUUCUGUAAUGCGCUUUGCCGAAAAUAAACUCGUAUCGUGUAUCGAAGUCCCGUGAUUUUUUAGGCUCAGACGUAAUCGUAGCUGGCAGCCGCUAAGCGUCAUUCGUUUGUAGGUUUCUACGAGUGCGCGUCUUGCAACAAAUCGUAUAAACUCAAGGGCUCGUUGGAUAACCACAAAAAGUACGAGUGCGGCAAAGAACCGGCUUUCAAAUGCCCGUUUUGUACGUAUCGGUGCAAGCAGAAAGGUAACCUAAAAGCGCAUAUCAGCAGGAAGCACAGCUACCACGAGGACAUCAACAGCUACUUGAAUCCUUCGGUCAAAAGCAAUUCGGCUUUGUAGUAUAGAUUUGUAGUUGUAAUCGGCCAACACGUAACACGGGUGACGUUCGUACAAUGGUUUUUUCUUUCAGGGUUUGCGUUCCAUUGCCACAGCUGCUCCAAACGAUACAAACACAGAGAAUCACUUCACAAGCAUUUGAAGUACGAAUGCGGCAAGGAGCCCUCAUUUAAGUGUCCUCACUGCCCUUACAAAGCGAAAUUUAAGUUCAACUUGAAAAAGCACGUCGCGUCGCGCCACAGCGAUUCGUAUUUGGACAACGUCGUGGCCGCUUGGAGUCCGUCGAAAUAAAUUUUAUUGUGUUUUUGAGCGCUUUAUUUUAUCUUUUUUUAAGUAUUUUUGUAGAAGAAUUUGGGGUUUUCAGGUGCUGGAACUAAAGUACCAUUUUCAAAAAAACUUUUUGCAAGGACCAUCUUAUCGUAGACACACUGUAUUCUCAAUAAAGUAGUAUUUUUAAAACAUUUGAGUGAUUUUUAACGGUUUUAAAUUUUUUGCUCACGACAAUAGCAGGAAAGCGUAAUUUCUGCAUCGCUUGUCCCCCGGGGGACGCAGAAGUUAGGCAUUCUUACUACUAAAGGCGCCUUAACAUCGCGUCGCACCGGUGACCGGUUGAUCUAACAUGGCCGUCGAUAUACACUACAGCAAAAUUGUCAAAUUUCAGUCGCUAUGUUGUAGAAUACGUUUUGACGCUGGAAGGACGGUACGGGUGUCGAAGGUGCCGCUGUUCUUAAAAGAGAAAGUAGUACUUUUUGAGAUAGGAGUAGUACAACGAGAGGCACUUCGGGUGCAACAACUGCUAUCGCGGGCUCCGGCAAAAGUACCAUCUGCCCCUACAUCUGUCGUCCGGCACUUGUUUCAAAUUGCGCGAAAUACACGAUUUUCUCUAGAUAAAACCUCUCGAACGUUAGCAACGCAUUUUGUCUCUUCAUGACGAACCCUCGUAUAGUAGCAUUGACAUGGUUAGUCCAGGCGAUACAAACAUGGAGGGUUAAUCCACCACGUCUGAAGUACGAAUCCGCCAAAGAAUCAUCGUUUAAGUCUCCUUUCUGCGUUUACAAGCCGCAAUUUAAAUCCUUACCGUAAUUGUUUUAGUACAUUUUUAGAUAAAUUCGUUUGUCCAAUCUAAAAGAUCAUUUUAGCAAAAAUUGCGGCGCCAACUAUAUCAUUAAAGCGUCAUUUUAGCGUGAAGUAGUUCAUUUUUAUUAAAUUAGUAUUUUUAAAAUAUUCAAGUAAUUCUAAAAUGUUUACCUUUUUUUUUAUUCACGAGAGUAAUAGGAAAGUGUAACUUUUCACGCGCCCCUGGUCAUGCAGAAAUUAGGCUUUCCUUCCUUCCUAUUGAUACCUUACGAUCGCAAUCUUCUGUGCGUGUAGAAAUUAGGCUUCCCUUUAACGUCCUUUGCGGCCACUUUAACGUCGCGUCGCACUGGUGAUCGGUGGUUAACCAAUAUUGCCGUAGACCUCAAAUUUUGUUAAUCUUCAGUCGCUACGUUGUAGAGUACGUUUUGACGCUCGAAGGGCGGUACGGGUGUCGAAGGUGCGGCUGUUCGUACAAGAGAAAGCAGCACUUCUUAAGACAUGUGAACCACGAGUGCGACAACCAAAGGCAUUUCAUAUGCUACAACUGCUCCCGCGGGUUCCGGCAGAAGUACCACCUGCACAGACAUCUGUUGUCCGGCACUUGUUUUAAAUCAGCGAAAAAACACGAUUUUAUAUGUAACCCUCGUUAUGACGGAAAACGGCAGGUACGGUUGUAUCCAAUGCGGCGCGUCGUACAAGUUCAAGAAACACUUUAACCGACAUGCGAAAUACGAGUGCGAACGUUUGAAGAAAUUUGUCUGCCACGUUUGCCACAAGUGUUACACCAGGAGCGAUUAUUUGAAAAAACACUUGCUCAGUUGUGUCGCAACCUAGACGGCCAUUACAGUUCGGUUGUUUGUAGGCAGGAUUGCGUGCAAGAACUGCGGCAGACUUUAUAAGCUUAGGACGUCGCUCAAUCGUCACCUCAAAUUCGAGUGCGGGCUGGCGCCCAAGUUUAAAUGUCUCGUGUGCUCUUACGCGACCAAGCAGAAAAUCAAUGCCGUCACGCACAUGAUAGUAGUCCACGGCAUCAGAAAAGAGGAUAUUGUAUUCGACCUGUGAUUUUAAUAAAAACCCACCUAAAAAUAGCUGACUUUCAGCAAACCUUUCGGUUUUGUGCCGGCCCUCGUUAUUUCUAUAAUUGUUUUAGGGUUUCGACUUACGCGUGAUGGCCGCUUCGGCUGUCAGAAAUGCAGUUCGUCGUAUAAAGACCUCGGCAACUUAAGGAGACACCUUAAAUUCGAAUGCGGCCGUGAUCCGAUGUUCAUGUGCCCUAUCUGCUAUAAAAAGUUUAACUAUAAGUUCAUUUUGUCAAGGCAUUUGUACACGCACUCCAAACUCCAUUGAGGAGUUCCGUUUUCGUAGCCUAGAAAUACAUUUUCUUUUCUAUCUACGGUAACGUGUUACCUGUACAUUUAAAAUUUUAG